GCCGUUUGUCCCUAGGCAGUUCCGGCGGUGGGCCGGGGGUCGUGCCGGGCCGGCGGGACGUUAAGCCAUGCCUGUUUCAGCUGAUGAAACUGCGGGGAACCUGGCUGUGAGAGAUACAGUCCUUACUCCAGCUGGAAUUGAAGGAUUACAAGAAUCAUCAUCUACACAGAAUGUAAAAGCUCGACAAGUCAUAUCAAGAAUCAGUCGAGAGGAACUGGAAGACAGAUUUCUUCGUCUACGUGAUGACCAUAUCCUACUCAAACAGUAUGCCAAUAAGCAAGAGGAGAAAAUUAAAAGAAUGACCACCAAGUUAAUACGGCUCGUUAAUGAUAAAAGAAAAUGUGACCAGGCUGGCUCUGGACCCAAGCGGCUGGGUCAGGCUCUGGAGCUGGAAGAAAUGAUUGAGCAUUUGCGAGAAAAAGUCUGUGAGCUUGAGAAACAAAAUGAGAGCCUCCGCAACAAACUCAUUUCAACUAAACAGCAGCUCCAGAUUCAAGGCCAUAGGCCUUGUCCGUACAGCUCCGUUCAAUCUCGUGUGAACACUGGUCUCAAAAAAGAGAGUGAGACUGCUGGCAUGCCAGAGCACACCAAGAAGGGAAUGAGAUUUCAAGGUUUAGAAGUGAGAUCAUCUGACCUUGUGCUUCCUAAAUAUGGACAGAGUCUGCUCGAGGAUUCAAGAGCUGAAAUCAGAAAUUUGGAGACUGUCAUUGAGUCCCAAAAGAACCAAAUUGAGGAACUAUACCGUGCCAGAGAGAUUCUUGGGAAUCAACUAAGAAGGAAAGAAAAGGAAAUUGAAGAAUCCACCCUACGGCUGAAAGAGCAGGGUACAGCAAGCCAAAGGCUAAACAUUCAGGACAAUGUGGAAAUGAUCAAGGUCCGUAAACAGCUGGCUGAGAAAAGCAAUGCUCUUUCAGCAAUGGAAGGAAAGUUUCUCCAGCUUGAAGAGAACCUAAAGAACUUGAAGACCAACCAUGAUGCUUUAUUAGCAAAAGGUGAUGAACUGAAUGUUCAGCUUAAAGAGGAGCGGUUAAAGUGCUUUCAUCUUCAAAAAGAAUUGCAGACAGUAACUAUUUCAAACAGAAGGACAGAAGAGUUACAGGAAAGAAUAAAUGAUCUAGAAAAUGAGAACAAACUGUUGAAGGAAAACUAUGAUAAGCUGCAUAACAGUGUCUUCAGUCUGCCCCAUGAACAGCAAUGGAAAUCAAAGGAACAGCAACUGAAACUGCAAAUUGCUAAACUAGAGGCAGCUAUCAAAAAUGAUCUAGCAGACAAAAAUGAAAUCCUUGACAAGAUCAAAGUAGAAAGAGACCAAAAGGAAAAGCUGAUGCAAGACAACAAAGACCUGCAGUUGCGCUACCUGGAACAAAAACAGCAACUAGAUGAUCUGAAAAAUCAAGUGAAGUGUUUAACGAAGGAUAGAAAGCAACAAAAGAAUGUGGACCUUCUGUUCUUGGAAAAAGUGGAAGAUGAUAUCCAUAAAGAUGUAGAAUACUCCAUGCAGGAGCUGCAGUUAACACAUGUGGAAACUGUGCAAGAACUUGAAAAGACAAGGAAUUUGUUACUUGUGCAGCAUAAAAUUAGCAAAAAUUACCAGACUGAAGUAGAAACAAUGACAAGAAAGAUGGAAAGUCUACAGAAAGAUUAUGAGUUAAAAUUGGAACAGUAUACCCAUCUUCUCGAUAUUAGAGCUGCACGUAUCAGAAAACUAGAAGCCCAACUAGGAGACAUUGUGUAUGAUACAAAACCACUUAAGUCCAGACAAGAAGUAUUGCUGAAUGAUCCAGUGGGUGGAUUUGUUGAAACUGUUCAUUUAGAAAGAGGAGAGAACCUUUUUGAAAUUCAUAUCAGCAAAGUGAUCUUCUCUUCUGAAGCUAUGCACACUUUUGGUGACUGGGAACCUGCAACCUUUUGUACUUACGCAUUCUAUGACUUUGAACUUCAGAUAACCCCAGUAGUUCAUGGGAAGACCCCAUCAUAUGACUUCACUUCUCAGUUUCUUGUGCAGUCUGAUGAUAGCUUCUUUCACUAUAUACAGGAAAACAGCAUCACACUGGAGGUUCAUCGUGCGUAUGGCAUAGAUUAUGAAACAAUUGCUUCUUGUCAGCUUAAGUUCCAGGAAAUCUUGGAAAAGGAAGGCAAGAUCUACAACACAGCAAAUUUAGUUGGAAAAGCAGGACACAUUCAAAAUUAUGGUACUGUAGAAUACUGGAUCAGGUUGCAAGUUCCUAUGGACCAAGCUAUUCUUCCCUACAAACAGAGGUCAAAGGAUCUGGGAUAUGGGAUAAUGCCCAGUUUUAGGAAGCAUGAACAACCAUCCAAGACUCCAACACUCAAAAUGAAGCAUCGUACAGCUCAAGCACACAAGAGAGUCUCUUUUCUGGAUCUUAGUGCAGUACAGAUGGCACAUGUGGUACAGGAUGCUAAACAGCUGUUGGGUGACAAAGUGAAGGACAUGGGUGAAGAAAUUCAGCAGGAAAAAGAAGAGCUUUCUCAUCUGUCAGAAGAGCAAUUGGCUGACCUAACAUUGAUUACUUCUAGAGAUGAGACAGAAAUAAUUGAAGAAUUGGAACCAGAAGGUCAAGAAGAUCAUCAAGAGGAUGAUGCUGUUGAAUCAAUAAAAACUGAUAGUGAUGACUGUAUUAUUUCAAGUCCAGUAUCCACUAAUAUUAAACAGCUGAGUCACAGUAUACAUGGCAAUUAUUUGGAAGUUGAAAAAAUCCAGAUUAAAAUUACAUCACUUGGUCUUACUGAGUCACGAAUAACAGAAGAUGAAACAAUACAGCAGCUGUUUGUAGAAUGCAGAUUAAACAAUUUCCUUGCGGAGGAGACCCCACUGUCACUUCCAAAACCACCUAGUGGUCAGAGGAUUCACUAUAACUAUAGCACUGCGAUAAAUGUAGAUAAGGAAGAUAAUCAUGCAGAAAGAGAGUAUCUCAAGUCAAUUCUUCUAAAGCCAGAUCUACCUGCUGACAGCCUAAAAUUUACAGUGGUCAGUGAUCCUCCAGAAGAUGAGCAGGAUCUUGAAUGUGAGGACAUUGGAUUUGCUUAUGUCAGUUUAAAAGAGAUAUUCCAGAAGCAAAGAGAUAUCAUUGAGCAAGAUAUUGAUGUGCCUGUUGGAACUGUAAAGGCAUGCACAUCUGCAAGUUCUUCAAACCUGGUUAAAGGAGUUUUAAAGUUGAUGUGGAACAAAGCAUUCCAACAAGGACAUUGAAAGAUUCCCAAGUGAGCAACCCGCCUGGCAGCCUGCCAACAUAAGGAAGAGCUCAUAGAGGAUCUCCUCCCUGACCCGACUCUCCAAGUUCCCCACGAGCAGAGUCUGCUCCGCCGCCUCGGCCCCCACCAAGGAUGACAUAGAGCCUGCGGGAAUGCGAGAAGAGCGUCCCAGCUGCGGGGAAGCUGCACUCGGUGUGAGGGGCCGGGCCGGCUCCUGGCAACACUGGAACGAGGGAGGGCGGCUGUCGCCUUGUUUGUGACACCAUCCCCAACGUCUGUGGCACCGUACUUAAUCGUUCAGUGUGUAGUAAUGAUGAAACACCAGAUCAAUCACUAACACUACCAGUCGUAUGCUGUUGUGAACAUCAGCCUGAGCAUCUUUGGUCUCUGUAGUGAUGGCACACUGAGCUCCUCCCAGACAAUUGGGCAUGAAGCAGUAGGUGUCUCCCAGCUCCUGUUAACCUGCAAACACUGUUAAAGGGCAUCAGCUGAGACAACAGGAGGUCCAUCUGCACCUCUGCAUCUCCCUGCCUGACAGGCCCGGGCUGGGCUGAGAACUGCGUUGACCACAGAGCCAGCAGGAAGACUCAGGCACAAAGUGACACAGGAAGCAGAAUAGCAACUCUGCAGGAGCUGAUUCUUGCAGCCUGGGCUUGAGUUGUGCCAGAGUGAAAAAUUAGAGCAAUGAUUUGUGUAACGAGCUGCAUUGCCAAGUGCUACCUGAGCCCAAGUGCUUGUCAGACAGAAUAUAUCACCUCUGUGGAUCAAGGUAAAAAAGCCUUGACUCAUCAGUAGCCUCAGGGAACAAAUGUGAAUUGAGCACCUGAAAUGCACAGCAUCAACUCAAUACCUGGGUGCGAAAAAUGUGUAUUUUAUGACUGUCUUCUCCCAAAUAUUAAAAUGAAUAUUAUAUGUGUUGUGUUAGAAAGUAAUGCUGUAUUAAUUCUCUUAGGUAGUCUGUUCAAUAUAGUUUUAGGUUAUAAAAACUGUUAAAAUAGAAACUAUGCUAUGUAGGAUACUUUUUUUAGAGAAAGGACUCGCAGCAAGAUAGCAGCUGCAGGACAUCUAAAUCUUUCAGACAAAAAGAAUUUAUUGCCUUCUUAUCAGAAAAAAUUGACUUCUUCCUGCCUGGCUAAGGAUUGAAGGCGCCUUAGGUUUAGGAGGAAGAAGUUGAUGAUGAACAGACAGAAUCCUUUGUUUGAAUGGAAUUUGUGCAUCAUGUAUGAAAUGUAUGAACAUACAACAGGCUGUGGUUUUUAAGGGUUAAUCCUCUGUUAACGUGUUUUGCAGGCUUGUGCUGCCCAGAAAACAGUACCUGGACAUCUGUAACUCUUUGUUUCUAUUGUCUCAUAUUGUCCUAAUUCAAAUUGUCCACAUUAUUAUUACUCUAAU